CUUAAUUUGUAGCACCAUUAAUUGAAAGUAAGAAAUGACCUUUUUACCCUCCUACUUAAACUCUAAAAAAGAGCUCAUUUUUAUCAUCUCAAACCCUUAUAUGCUCUCACCAUUAGCUCAACAAUGGUGAGCCGAUGGUGACCAUAGAUUUUAGAGUUUAAGAAAGCUGUAAUGAGGCCUGGAGGUGGCACUGCAAAAUGGUGAUCAGGUGAUUCUGCUUCCGGUAGUUGGCUUGGAGGUGGUGAAGGAGAAGAUGAGAAGAUGAGAAGCUGAGAGGUGAAGAGGGUGACCGGAAUUUGGUCGGAACUCGGUGGCUUCGUCAAGAAACAUUGGCUCUGUUGCAGAUUUGGUCUGAUAUGGAAGUUGCUUUCCAUCGAUUUGGUUCAUAUCGUGGUCGUCUUUGAUGAUGUAUCGGGAAUAGAGGUUUAGGUUGAGAAAAAGUAACGUAUUUUACCAAUUUUGGGGAUUUUAAAGUGAAACUAGCUGCAAAGGUCACUGUGGCUACUAGAGUUGCUACCAAUAGACGGGUUUCAUUUCUUGCCUGGUCGAAUUGAUCAAAGUCAUCAUCUUUAUCAGAUUCCUUCUUUUUUCCUUCAA